rnacentral:lncRNA from 1 species
UAAGUAGACCGUAGCCUACACUUGUGCCAGUCACUGAGUUUCGGCCAAUCAAACAUAGCCAACUGUUCAAACUGUGUUCAAAUAAGGCAAAUGCUGAGCCAUAACCAAUCCAAUGUCCCUUCAAUGUCCAUAAAUCUUCUUCCAACCAAAUGGUUGUGCUGGAGCCUCUGAACCUACUCUGACUCAGAAGGCAGACUGAUUCGCAAUUCAUUCAUUGCUCAAAGACUUUUAAAUUUAAUUUGGCUGAAGUUUUUAUUUUAUCAAGGGUUACCCCACAGCAAGAGCCCCUACAGAAGCCCGCACGUCAUGCUUGCCAUCCGCCUUCCUUCUCUCUCAACAAAGAAGGAGACCAGGAUUUGGAAUAGUGGAACCCAAUUUUUUAAAAGUCGACAACUCCUGGAAGCCACUGUAGCGACUCGGAAUCAACAUUCUCAGGACCCCAUCCGGGACGCCGCUGUGCAUGCAGCUGUCACAUCUCCCUGGACCCCCCUCUGCUGGCAGUUUCUCAGAUUUUCCUUGUUUUCGAUGACUGGGAUAGUUUUGAAGAGUAAUGGUCAGGCAUGCUGUAGAAUUUCUCUCAGUUGGGGUUUUUCUGAUGAUCUGAUUGGGAUUAUGGAAUUUGGGGAAGAAGACCAUAGAAGUAAAGUGCUAUUUUUAUUACACCCUGCCAAGGAGCCUUCUGUCAAUGACUCAUCACUAAAUCACCCGCCUCACCUGGCGGUCGUGGCCUCUGCCAGGUUUCUCCACAGGAAAGUUACUCCCUUGUCCCGCUUUCCAGACUCACUGGAGCAAAGUCACUAUGCAUGGGCUUCACUUAAGCAGCGGGAGUUACGCUCUCUUCCCCUAAGAACAUGGAGUCUGCAACUUUAUUUGGAAUCCUCUGCAAGAGAGAUAUGUCUGUUAAAUAUUUACCCAUUAGUUCAUAUCACGAUAAACUCAUAGGUAUUUAUUUUAUAAUUGGAUUAUGAGCCAAUGCUGCUUUUUGUUAUCAUUAUUGUUUAAUCUUUCCAGUUUCAGUUGCAGGCCAGAUCUUUCCAUUGGCUCCUGUGGCCCUGACGUGCCCUGGCAAUGUGGCUGUUCAUUUUUAUUUUUUCAGCAGUUAUUAAUUUCCUAGCACUACAAGGUGCCCCCAGCUUACCUUGUC